rnacentral:tRNA from 1 species
CACUAAGAAGCUACGCAGCAUUAGCCUUUUAAGUUAAAGAGAGGGGAUUAGCCUCCUUAGUGA